rnacentral:rRNA from 1 species
AUUGAACGCUGGCGGCAUGCCUAACACAUGCAAGUCGAACGGCAGCACAGUAUGUAGCAAUACAUAUGGGUGGCGAGUGGCGGACGGGUGAGUAAUGCAUGGGAAUCUGCCCAGUAGCGGGGGACAACUCGGGGAAACUCGAGCUAAUACCGCAUACGCCCUACGGGGGAAAGAGGGGGACCGCAAGGCCUCUCACUAUCGGAUGUGCCCAUGUCGGAUGAGCUAGUUGGUAGGGUAACGGCCUACCAAGGCGACGCUCCGUAGCUGGUCUGAGAGGACGACCAGCCACACCGGAACUGAGACACGGUCCGGACUCCUACGGGAGGCAGCAGUGGGGAAUAUUGGACAAUGGGGGAAACCCUGAUCCAGCGAUGCCGCGUGUGUGAAGAAGGCCUGCGGGUUGUAAAGCACUUUUGGUAGGGAAGAAAACCUGAGGGAUAACACCUUUCAGGCUUGACGUUACUUACAGAAAAAGCACCGGCUAACUCCGUGCCAGCCGCCGCCGUAA